CUCCAACCUCUGGGAGUCCUCAUGGCAUCUGACUUGUCAGACGGACUUUGUGGAUCUGCUCCUUUGGGAACCACCUCUGAUGGAUUGAAGUCUCAGCAAAAGAAGCAAGAAGCCCAGGCGCUCUGACCUCAUGAUGUCCUCAGCAGACAGGGAAGAUGCAGGGGUAGAGACCAAGGACAGGACAGCUCGGACAGUUGUUUCAGAUGUUUCCAAUUCGUCGGACUGCUCAGACAUCUGUUCCUGGUUGAAGGCAGAGAAGAGAAAGAAAAAAGGGAAAAACUCAAUGUGUUUCACACACCCUCACUCAGAUGCACACAGGCUCACACACCCCCUUCUCUCUCUCCCUCCCCCAGACCCUCGCAGAACACACCCUCAUCCUCAUGCACACUCCGAGCCUCACUCACUUUCACUGCAGCCAGACCCUGUGCUCCACGAAGCCCCAGUGUUUGCAGCUGUGUGCCCACCCCCUUCCUACCCUUGAGGGAGGAGCCAGAGGCUGGAGUACUGGGGCUGGAGUUAAGAACUGCAGAUGGAAGUGAGAGAGGAGGAGAAGAAAGAGGCUCCCACCUGGCUUCUGACCCAGGACAUACUGCCAGAUGGGAGCAGAGGGUGAGGAAUAAACAUUUAUUGAGCACUUACUGUGUGCCA
rnacentral:lncRNA from 13 species